rnacentral:tRNA from 1 species
GGGGUUGUGGCUCAAUGGUAGAGUGCUCGCUUCACAUGUGAGAGGCCCUGGGUUCAGUCCUCAGCACCACA